CCGCAUUCUAAUGACCUAGUAAAAAAUUUUCAUAUGGGAUUUUCUCUUGGUUGUUGGGAAACGAAGUGAAGUGCUCUAUAGGAGAAUUUUCUGCGGCGGCAUUCAAUAGCAUCGUAAGCUUCCAAAGACCAGGUAUUAAAUAUUAGUCAGAUAAUGGGAUAGUGCCUUACGAUACAUUUUACAGGUAAGAUAUACUGCAAAUAUUUUGGCAAAGAGGAAGAAUAAUAAUUAUUAGCUUUAAAGGAUAAAUAUGAGGUAGGGAAUGUGGGAAAGCAUUGAUUUGUGUACUUACAGUGAAUUAAAUUUUUCUAAGAGCUACAGUGUUGGAGUUUUAAUAUUAAGUAUAUGAGCUACAAAUCCAAUCAAGGCAUAAUGAUUGGGUAAUGAUAUUAUAUGUGAAAUAGCAUGAGAAAUUAUUAUCUUGGAGUUACUGGUUCAUAUGUGAGGUUAUUGUUAGGCAACCUUUUUUUUUCACGAUUGAAGCUGCCGUAUAAGAUGUUAAUCUGGUGCAGAUUUCUAUUUAUUGGAUUGGAGUUGACUUUGAUUUUGACUCGUCUUAAAACAUUGGAAAUUAUUCAUCUAAAUUGAUUAGGAUGUGUUAUUAUUUUGAAUAGAUUGAGGCCAUUAGAGACUAUUUGGUUGGUGUUCUAGACGUUGCAAGGUUGUAGAAUUUCCUAUCAUCGAAGUGAGUAGUUUGUAUAGAUGAUGGCUUGAGGGUUUGAAACCCCGGUUAGGGCAUGACUCGCACCCCAUGGAAAGUGCAGGGUUGUAAAUGAUUGGGACUAUGACUUGGUCAAUCCCGAGAACUGAAUAAUUAUUGGCGUCUGAUACGCACAUUGUGUUGUUGAUAAUUGGGCUUAAUGCCAUGGUUGGGGCCUUGUGCCGAUAUGUAGUACUUGUUAGAGUGAAUAUCUGUGUGAUAAUAUGAUUUGCAUAAUCAAUAAUCUCACUCAUGUGUUUAAUCACCGUAAUGAAAUGCUAAGUCAUUUUUCUUGAAAUUAAAUAACUAAAUUAUAUUUACCUUAAAUAUCGGAAAAUUGGGAAAUUAGAUUGAAUCGGUUAUGUGACUCAUAUGCAUAUUGUGGACUGAGCAUGGGUCGGGCUGCACGCCGCAGCGGUGAUAUGAUAAUAUUAUGCUUGGGCUGAAGGAGCCCCACCGGAGUCUGUACACUCCCCCAGUGAGCGUCGUCGACGUUAAACGGAUCGGGUUGCACGCCGCAGCAUAUUCAUGUGCAUUGUAUUGCAUCUUUAUCUGAGAUUUGGUUGUUGUUGUGAUACUGUUUGUUGUUAGUUUGUUGCUAAGUUAUAGGAUUGUUAGUUAUAGAUUUGCUUUGUGGUAUUUUGUGGAUUUCUUAAUUUCAGACAUUUACUAUGCUUAUUAUUCACUGAGUCGGCAGUAUUCACCCUUACUCCCUACACCUUGUGUGCAGAUUCAUGUACACUGGAGGCUAGCUGAUACUCGUAGUCUCCAGAGAUACUUCCCCGAGUCGUUGAGGUAGCUGCAUGACGUUCGCAAGACCUGGCUGCUCUUCAUUAUUUUUCUCAGUUCACUAUUAUUAUAUACUCUCCAAGAUUUUUAUAUUGUUAUUCAGAUACCUUUAUUAUUACUCAGUUAUGUUAAAGGCUCUAGACUCGUGACCCCAG
rnacentral:lncRNA from 1 species